rnacentral:rRNA from 1 species
GAUGAACGCUAGCUACAGGCUUAACACAUGCAAGUCGCAGGGUAACGUGAGGGAAGCUUGCUUCCCUUGACGACGACUGGCGCACGGGUGAGUAACGCGUAUCCAACCUUCCCAUGACCACGGGAUAACCCGUUGAAAGACGGACUAAUACCGUAUGACGUCGUUUGCUGACAUCAAAUAACGAUUAAAGGUUUAGCGGUGAUGGAUGGGGAUGCGUCUGAUUAGCUUGUUGGCGGGGUAACGGCCCACCAAGGCGACGAUCAGUAGGGGUUCUGAGAGGAAGGUCCCCCACAUUGGAACUGAGACACGGUCCAAACUCCUACGGGAGGCAG